rnacentral:rRNA from 1 species
GAUGAACGCUAGCGGCAGGCUUAAUACAUGCAAGUCGAGGGGCAGCAGGGGUAGCAAUACUCGCUGGCGACCGGCAAACGGGUGCGGAACACGUACAGAACCUUCCUUUAAGUGGGGAAUAGCCCAGAGAAAUUUGGAUUAAUACCCCGUAACAUUAUGAAGUGGCAUCACUUUAUAAUUAUAGAUUCAUCGCUUAAAGAUGGCUGUGCGGCUGAUUAGGUAGUUGGUGGGGUAACGGCCCACCAAGCCUGCGAUCAGUAACUGGUGUGAGAGCACGACCAGUCACACGGGCACUGAGACACGGGCCCGACUCCUACGGGAGGCAGCAGUAAGGAAUAUUGGUCAAUGGACGCAAGUCUGAACCAGCCAUGCCGCGUGGAGGAUGAAGGUCCUCUGGAUUU